rnacentral:rRNA from 1 species
AGAGUUUGAUCCUGGCUCAGAUUGAACGCUGGCGGCAUGCUUUACACAUGCAAGUCGGACGGCAGCACAGAGAAGCUUGCUUCUUGGGUGGCGAGUGGCGAACGGGUGAGUAACAUAUCGGAACGUACCGAGCAGUGGGGGAUAACUAAUCGAAAGAUUAGCUAAUACCGCAUAUCUUCUGAGGAAGAAAGCAGGGGACCAUUUGGCCUUGCGCUGUUUGAGCGGCCGAUAUCUGAUUAGCUAGUUGGUGGGGUAAAGGCCUACCAAGGCGACGAUCAGUAGCGGGUCUGAGAGGAUGAUCCGCCACACUGGGACUGAGACACGGCCCAGACUCCUACGGGAGGCAGCAGUGGGGAAUUUUGGACAAUGGGCGCAAGCCUGAUCCAGCCAUGCCGCGUGUCUGAAGAAGGCCUUCGGGUUGUAAAGGACUUUUGUCAGGGAAGAAAAGGGCGGGGUUAAUACCCCUGUCUGAUGACGGUACCUGAAGAAUAAGCACCGGCUAACUACGUGCCAGCAGCCGCGGUAAUACGUAGGGUGCGAGCGUUAAUCGGAAUUACUGGGCGUAAAGCGAGCGCAGACGGUUACUUAAGCAGGAUGUGAAAUCCCCGGGCUCAACCUGGGAACUGCGUUCUGAACUGGGUGACUAGAGUGUGUCAGAGGGAGGUAGAAUUCCACGUGUAGCAGUGAAAUGCGUAGAGAUGUGGAGGAAUACCGAUGGCGAAGGCAGCCUCCUGGGAUAACACUGACGUUCAUGCUCGAAAGCGUGGGUAGCAAACAGGAUUAGAUACCCUGGUAGUCCACGCCCUAAACGAUGUCGAUUAGCUGUUGGGCAGCAUGACUGCUUAGUAGCGAAGCUAACGCGUGAAAUCGACCGCCUGGGGAGUACGGUCGCAAGAUUAAAACUCAAAGGAAUUGACGGGGACCCGCACAAGCGGUGGAUGAUGUGGAUUAAUUCGAUGCAACGCGAAGAACCUUACCUGGUCUUGACAUGUACGGAAUCCUCCAGAGACGGAGGAGUGCCUUCGGGAGCCGUAACACAGGUGCUGCAUGGCUGUCGUCAGCUCGUGUCGUGAGAUGUUGGGUUAAGUCCCGCAACG